UACGUAGGGGGCAAGCGUUGUCCGGAAUCAUUGGGCGUAAAGCGCGUGUAGGCGGCUUGGUAAGUCUGCUCUGAAAGCCCGGGGCUCAACCCCGGGAGGCGGGUGGAUACUGUCAAGCUCGAGUCCGGGAAGAGGAGUGUGGAAUUCCGUGGUGUAGCGGUGAAAUGCGCAGAUAUCAGGAGGAACACCGGUGGCGAAGGCGGGAUCUCUGGGCCGAUACUGACGCUGGAGGAGCGAAAGCGUGGGGAGCGAACAGGA
rnacentral:rRNA from 1 species